CAAGCAUCACACCCGUCUCAAAGUACAAAGGUUGAAGUACAAGAUUAAGUAUUCUACAAGUAACUGGAGUAAAAGUAUUGCCAUGAGAAAAUUGUCAAACUUAAAGAUUAACCAUGAAAAUCUAAAGCAUCAAGUGCAAGCAAAUGGGUGGCAAGCAUGGCUUUGAUUUCACACGUAGGCGCUAUGUUUACAAAUGUACAUGUUGUCCAUAUUUUGCUUUGCUUCAUAUAUUAGGAGUUCAUCCCUAGCUAGCCUAUAACUUUGAUUGAAAACUUAUGAAUCUGAAACAUUUUGAUUUAAGGACAUUAAGUGUUGUCAAUAUGUAUUUAGAAAUCAAAUUACAUGUCAUAUUUUCAUAUUUUUUUAUUUAUAAAUAGUAUAUGUUUUCCCA